rnacentral:rRNA from 1 species
AUUGAACGCUGGCGGCAGGCCUAACACAUGCAAGUCGAGCGAGCGGCGGACGGGUGAGUAAUGUAUGGGGACUGCCCGAUAGAGGGGGAUAACUACUGGAAACGGUGGCUAAUACCGCAUACUAUCGGAUAACCCAUAUGGGAUUAGCUAGUAGGGGGGGUAAAGGCUUACCUAGGCGACGAUCCCUAGCUGAGCUGAGAGGAUGACCAUCCACACUGGGACUGAGACACGGCCCAGACUCCUACGGAGGCAGUAGUGGGGAAUAUUGCACAAUGGGCGCAAGCCUGAUGCAGCCAUGCCGCGUGUAUGAAGAAGGCCGUCGGGUUGUAAAGUACUUUCAGUCGGGAGGCGUUACCGGCAGAAGAAGCACCGGCUAACUCCGUGCCAGCAGCCGCGGUAAUUC